rnacentral:rRNA from 1 species
CCUACGGGAGGCAGCAGUGGGGAAUAUUGGGCAAUGGAGGAAACUCUGACCCAGCGACGCCGCGUGCGGGAUGAAGGCCUUCGGGUUGUAAACCGCUUUCAGCAGGGAAGAAGCGAAAGUGACGGUACCUGCAGAAGAAGCACCGGCUAACUAUGUGCCAGCAGCCGCGGUAAUACAUAGGGUGCAAGCGUUGUCCGGAAUUAUUGGGCGUAAAGAGCUCGUAGGUGGUUCGUCACGUCGGAUGUGAAAAUCUGGGGCUUAACCCCAGACCUGCAUUCGAUACGGGCGAGCUUGAGUAUGGUAGGGGAGUCUGGAAUUCCUGGUGUAGCGGUGGAAUGCGCAGAUAUCAGGAGGAACACCAAUGGCGAAGGCAGGACUCUGGGCCAUUACUGACACUGAGGAGCGAAAGCGUGGGGAGCGAACAGGAUUAGAUACCCUGGUAGUCCACGCCGUAAACGGUGGGCACUAGUUGUGGGGACCUUCCACGGUCUCCGCGACGCAGCUAACGCAUUAAGUGCCCCGCCUGGGGAGUACGAUCGCAAGAUUAAAACUCAAAGGAAUUGACGGCUAGACGUGCGACGAGCACAGGAGGUAG